GUGGCGGACGGGUGAGUAACACGUGGGAACGUGCCUUUAGGUUCGGAAUAAGCCCGGGAAACUGGGUCUAAUACCGAAUGUGCCCUUCGGGGGAAAGAUUUAUCGCCUUUAGAGCGGCCCGCGUCUGAUUAGCUAGUUGGUAGUGUAAUGGACUACCAAGGCUACGAUCAGUAGCUGGUCUGAGAGGAUGACCAGCCACAUUGGGACUGAGACACGGCCCAAACUCCUACGGGAGGCAGCAGUGGGGAAUCUUGCGCAAUGGGCGAAAGCCUGACGCAGCCAUGCCGCGUGAAUGAUGAAGGUCUUAGGAUUGUAAAAUUCUUUCACCGGGGACGAUAAUGACGGUACCCGGAGAAGAAGCCCCGGCUAACUUCGUGCCAGCAGCCGCGGUAAUACGAAGGGGGCUAGCGUUGCUCGGAAUUACUGGGCGUAAAGGGCGCGUAGGCGGACAUUUAAGUCAGGGGUGAAAUCCCAGAGCUCAACUCUGGAACUGCCUUUGAUACUGGGUGUCUUGAGUGUGAGAGAGGUAUGUGGAACUCCGAGUGUAGAGGUGAAAUUCGUAGAUAUUCGGAAGAACACCAGUGGCGAAGGCGACAUACUGGCUCAUUACUGACGCUGAGGCGCGAAAGCGUGGGGAGCAAACAGGAUUAGAUACCCUGGUAGUCCAC
rnacentral:rRNA from 1 species